rnacentral:rRNA from 1 species
UACGUAGGUGGCAAGCGUUAUCCGGAUUUACUGGGUGUAAAGGGCGCGUAGGCGGGAUCGCAAGUCAGAUGUGAAAUCUGGGGGCUUAACCCCCAAACUGCAUUUGAAACUGUGAUUCUUGAGUGUCGGAGAGGCAAGUGGAAUUCCUAGUGUAGCGGUGGAAUGCGUAGAUAUUAGGAGGAACACCAGUGGCGAAGGCGACUUGCUGGACGACAACUGACGCUGAGGCGCGAAAGCGUGGGGAGCAAACAGG